GCACUGUUGGGGUAGUGGUAACCUGGAUCGUUGCCAAAGCGACACGCUCCACUCGAUCCGCCCCGGGUUCAAUUCCCGGACAGUGCA